rfam:Schistosoma mansoni, Puerto Rico, WGS project CABG01000000 data, contig: 0237
AUCCAGUAGAUGAAUCCUAAAUAAAAUGAAACGUGCGUCCUGGAU